UUUAAUGUUAAAUUAUAUUCAAAGAAAAAAUAUCGUUGUUACGACAAGUGCGACAGAAUUUAAAUUUGUUACAACACUGAAAAAAU
rnacentral:sRNA from 1 species